CACAUCUCAUUGAAACACCGGUUCCCGAUUAGCGAAGUUAAGCAACGUCGAGCCUGGUCAGUACCUAGAUGGGUGACCGCUUGGAAAUGCCA